rnacentral:rRNA from 1 species
GUCUGGUGCCAGCAGCCGCGGUAAUUCCAGCUCCAAUAGCGUAUAUUAAAGUUGUUGCAGUUAAAAAGCUCGUAGUUGAAUUUCGGGGUUAGUAGAUUGGUCGUGCCACUGGUAUGUACUGGUCUUACUGAUUCCUCCUUCCUGAUGAACCGUAAUGCCAUUAAUUUGGUGUUGCGGGGAGACUGGACUGUUGCUUUGAAAAAAUUAGAGUGUUUAAAGCAGGCUAACGCUUGAAUACAUUAGCAUGGAAUAAUGAAAUAGGACGUUCGAUCCUAUUUUGUUGGUUUCUAGGAUUGACGUAAUGAUUAAUAGGGAUAGUUGGGGGCAUUAGUAUUCAAUUGUCAGAGGUGAAAUUCUUGGAUUUAUUGAAGACUAACUACUGCGAAAGCAUUUGCCAAGGAUGUUUUCAUUAAUCAAGAACGAAAGUUAGGGGAUCGAAGACGAUCAGAUACCGUCGUAGUCUUAACCAUAAACUAUGCCGACUAGGGAUCGGAUGAUGUUAAUUUUUUAAUGACUCAUUCGGC